rnacentral:rRNA from 1 species
GACGAACCGAGCGAACGUUGUUCGGAAUCACUGGGCUUAAAGGGCGCGUAGGCGGGCUGUCAAGUCUGGGGUGAAAUCCCGCGGCUCAACCGUGGAACUGCCUCAGAUACUGACGGUCUCGAGGGAGGUAGGGGCGAGCGGAACUGAUGGUGGAGCGGUGAAAUGCGUUGAUAUCAUCAGGAACGCCGGUGGCGAAGGCGGCUCGCUGGACCUCUUCUGACGCUGAGGCGCGAAAGCCAGGGGAGCAAACGGG